ACUGAGCGGCGGACGGGUAAGUAACGCGUGGGUAACCGUGCCUCAUACAGGGGAGUAACAGUUGGAAACGGCUGCUAAUACCGCAUAAGCGCACAGUACCGCAUGGUACGGUGUGAAAAACUCCGGUGGUAUGAGAUGGACCCGCGUCUGAUUAGGUAGUUGGUGGGGUAACGGCCUACCAAGCCGACGAUCAGUAGCCGACCUGAGAGGGUGACCGGCCACAUUGGGACUGAGACACGGCCCAA
rnacentral:rRNA from 1 species